AAAAUUCCUUUUACUUUAUUCAAACCAACAUCAUUUCCAGCUUAUUUGACCGCUCUCUCGUUAAAUUUGAUUCAUCUGUUCUUUCUUGGUCUUGCUCCGUUUGUCUGUUGAAUAACUUAUUAUCUCAUUACUCUUCUUCACCUUCCCACUGGAAAAAAGAAAUUUCAGGAAAGAAAUACUUGCGUGCUCUCCAGUCGGCGAGAUCUGUUUCUCCCUUAAAAUUUGAGAGUGAAACUGGGGAAAAAUCCAUGCUCCGUUUCGGGUACAAUGCGUUUGGAGAACUCAAUUUUGGAGUGCCUAGAGUCACUCACCUUAGGUGGCUACAGCUUCUUAGGUUCACGGGAACAUGUUUAGCUUUCUUUUCCCAUGAAUUUGAAAGAGUUGAGUCUUGAAGCUCUGAGUCUUCCCUGUAGAAAAAUGUCAUUGAUUGAACAACUACCCAAUCUUGAACUCCUCAAAUUAAGACAGCGGUCAAUGGACGGCAAAAAAUGGGAGCUGGUGGAAGGAGGAUUCCCUAAACUCAGGGUCUUGACUUUGCAAUCUCUAGAGAUUGUUGAGUGGAUAGAGACAGACCCUGAUAGUGAUGAAUGAUGAUUACUUCCCGUGCCUUCAGCAAUUAAAACUCCUCAAAAUUUUUAGCUUGAAAAUGGUGCCUGCUUGUUUUGGGCGUAUAUCUACUCUUGAAACAAUUAAGGUGAGUUUUUGCGGAGAUGGUGUCAAAUCUUUAGUACGGGAAAUUGAAGAAGCACAGAAAUAUAAUGGAAAUGAGAAUCCGAAGAUCAUUUAUGGAAAAUAUUGAAGGGCAUCAGCUGGUGCAAUAUUAGGGAGUGCUACGGUACGUAGCAGUUUUUCUUCGAGAUCGUAAUUAGUCAUCUGUAUGGUCUGGCUUUCUUUGAUGUUUUUGUGGAAGAUUGAGGUAAAAAUUGAAAGGAUUGAUGGCCUCCAGGGAGCUCCUGCGUUUUUUGCGGGCAAGGAAUCUAAACACGUAAUUGGGAGCGUCCUAAAGCCCCAUGUCUUUGGGUAGCUACAUCUUUUCCUAUCAAUUCCCCUUCUUUGGGUGGCUCAAUUAGAUUUCAUUAGUUGGCUAAAUUUUGGUUGUAAAAAAUUCUCAACUGUUAACCACUUUAAUGUUCUUUGAUUUCCUCUUUUUCCCGUUGUCUGUUGGGUUGUAUGGUAUGAUAGGAAUAAAUUUUUGUUUGAUUGUCAUUAAUUAAUAAAGAUUUGCAAGUUUAUGUAA